rnacentral:rRNA from 4 species
GGGUUGUGAGGUUAAGCGACUAAGCGUACACGGUGGAUGCCCUGGCAGUCAGAGGCGAUGAAGGGCGUGCUAAUCUGCGAUAAGCGCCGGUAAGGUGAUAUGAACCGUUAUAACCGGCGAUACCCGAAUGGGGAAACCCAGUGUGAUUCGUCACACUAUCAUUAACUGAAUCCAUAGGUUAAUGAGGCGAACCGGGGGAACUGAAACAUCUAAGUACCCCGAGGAAAAGAAAUCAACCGAGAUUCCCCCAGUAGCGGCGAGCGAACGGGGAGGAGCCCAGAGCCUGAAUCAGCAUGUGUGUUAGUGGAAGCGUCUGGAAAGGUGCGCGAUACAGGGUGACAGCCCCGUACACAAAAGCGCAUGUGCUGUGAGCUCGAUGAGUAGGGCGGGACACGUGGUAUCCUGUCUGAAUAUGGGGGGACCAUCCUCCAAGGCUAAAUACUCCUGACUGACCGAUAGUGAACCAGUACCGUGAGGGAAAGGCGAAAAGAACCCCGGCGAGGGGAGUGAAAAAGAACCUGAAACCGUGUACGUACAAGCAGUGGGAGCACAGGUUUACCUGUGUGACUGCGUACCUUUUGUAUAAUGGGUCAGCGACUUAUAUUCUGUAGCAAGGUUAACCGUAUAGGGGAGCCGGAGGGAAACCGAGUCUUAAUUGGGCGUUAAGUUGCAGGGUAUAGACCCGAAACCCGGUGAUCUAGCCAUGGGCAGGUUGAAGGUUGGGUAACACUAACUGGAGGACCGAACCGACUAAUGUUGAAAAAUUAGCGGAUGACCUGUGGCUGGGGGUGAAAGGCCAAUCAAACCGGGAGAUAGCUGGUUCUCCCCGAAAGCUAUUUAGGUAGCGCCUCGUGAAUUCAUCUCCGGGGGUAGAGCACUGUUUCGGCUAGGGGGCCAUCCCGGCUUACCAACCCGAUGCAAACUGCGAAUACCGGAGAAUGUUAUCACGGGAGACACACGGCGGGUGCUAACGUCCGUCGUGAAGAGGGAAACAACCCAGACCGCCAGCUAAGGUCCCAAAGUCAUGGUUAAGUGGGAAACGAUGUGGGAAGGCCCAGACAGCCAGGAUGUUGGCUUAGAAGCAGCCAUCAUUUAAAGAAAGCGUAAUAGCUCACUGGUCGAGUCGGCCUGCGCGGAAGAUGUAACGGGGCUAAACCAUGCACCGAAGCUGCGGCAGCGAACGUAUCACCCAAGACAACUUUACGGAGUUGACGAUUGACGGAGCGAAGCGACGUCAAAGCGUUCAUUAAAGUCGAGUUGGCUUAGGGAUACGUUCGUUGGGUAGGGGAGCGUUCUGUAAGCCUGUGAAGGUGUGUCGUGAGGCAUGCUGGAGGUAUCAGAAGUGCGAAUGCUGACAUAAGUAACGAUAAAGCGGGUGAAAAGCCCGCUCGCCGGAAGACCAAGGGUUCCUGUCCAACGUUAAUCGGGGCAGGGUGAGUCGACCCCUAAGGCGAGGCCGAAAGGCGUAGUCGAUGGGAAACGGGUUAAUAUUCCCGUACUUGGUGUUACUGCGAAGGGGGGACGGAGAAGGCUAUGUUGGCCGGGCGACGGUUGUCCCGGUUUAAGCGUGUAGGUGUGUGUUCCAGGUAAAUCCGGUUCACUUUAACACUGAGGCGUGACGACGAGGCACUACGGUGCUGAAGCAACAAAUGCCCUGCUUCCAGGAAAAGCCUCUAAGCAUCAGGUAACACGAAAUCGUACCCCAAACCGACACAGGUGGUCAGGUAGAGAAUACCAAGGCGCUUGAGAGAACUCGGGUGAAGGAACUAGGCAAAAUGGUGCCGUAACUUCGGGAGAAGGCACGCUGACACGUAGGUGAAGUGAUUUACUCAUGGAGCUGAAGUCAGUCGAAGAUACCAGCUGGCUGCAACUGUUUAUUAAAAACACAGCACUGUGCAAACACGAAAGUGGACGUAUACGGUGUGACGCCUGCCCGGUGCCGGAAGGUUAAUUGAUGGGGUCAGCGCAAGCGAAGCUCCUGAUCGAAGCCCCGGUAAACGGCGGCCGUAACUAUAACGGUCCUAAGGUAGCGAAAUUCCUUGUCGGGUAAGUUCCGACCUGCACGAAUGGCGUAAUGAUGGCCAGGCUGUCUCCACCCGAGACUCAGUGAAAUUGAACUCGCUGUGAAGAUGCAGUGUACCCGCGGCAAGACGGAAAGACCCCGUGAACCUUUACUAUAGCUUGACACUGAACAUUGAGCCUUGAUGUGUAGGAUAGGUGGGAGGCUUUGAAGUGUGGACGCCAGUCUGCAUGGAGCCGACCUUGAAAUACCACCCUUUAAUGUUUGAUGUUCUAACGUGGACCCGUAAUCCGGGUUGCGGACAGUGUCUGGUGGGUAGUUUGACUGGGGCGGUCUCCUCCUAAAGAGUAACGGAGGAGCACGAAGGUUGGCUAAUCCUGGUCGGACAUCAGGAGGUUAGUGCAAUGGCAUAAGCCAGCUUGACUGCGAGCGUGACGGCGCGAGCAGGUGCGAAAGCAGGUCAUAGUGAUCCGGUGGUUCUGAAUGGAAGGGCCAUCGCUCAACGGAUAAAAGGUACUCCGGGGAUAACAGGCUGAUACCGCCCAAGAGUUCAUAUCGACGGCGGUGUUUGGCACCUCGAUGUCGGCUCAUCACAUCCUGGGGCUGAAGUAGGUCCCAAGGGUAUGGCUGUUCGCCAUUUAAAGUGGUACGCGAGCUGGGUUUAGAACGUCGUGAGACAGUUCGGUCCCUAUCUGCCGUGGGCGCUGGAGAACUGAGGGGGGCUGCUCCUAGUACGAGAGGACCGGAGUGGACGCAUCACUGGUGUUCGGGUUGUCAUGCCAAUGGCACUGCCCGGUAGCUAAAUGCGGAAGAGAUAAGUGCUGAAAGCAUCUAAGCACGAAACUUGCCCCGAGAUGAGUUCUCCCUGAGACUUAGAGUCUCCUGAAGGAACGUUGAAGACGACGACGUUGAUAGGCCGGGUGUGUAAGCGCAGCGAUGCGUUGAGCUAACCGGUACUAAUGAACCGUGAGGCUUAACCUUACAACGCCGAAG